GCCAGGUUCUGCCCGCAGCUCUCUGCCGCUCGUGGUGGGCGGAGCCUGCCGCCAGGUUCUGCCCGCCACUCUCUGCCGCUCGUGGUGGGAUGUCGCUCCAGGACUUCGCUUCAGACAUUGCCCCUCUACAUACCUGACCCCAGGGAUAUCUCAGAAGAGGGGUGGACCAAGAUUGUAAGGCUCAUGCAGGGUCCCCUGGGAUUAUGAAGAAAUCAGGGAGGAUUUUCAAAAACCAGCCUACUGACAUUACACCAAGUAAACACUGAUUAUUAAUUCCAUCCACAGAACAAUCUCUGAGACCAGAGACCUAUUCAGUAAGAAUUCUGGGGGAGGAAGUUGAAUCAAUGACAACUUUAGAGGCUAUUUCAAGAAAUUUAAGUCUUUGAUGAAA